CCUACGGGGGGCUGCAGCGGGGAAUAUUGCACAAUGGGCGCAAGCCUGAUGCAGCCAUGCCGCGUGUGUGAAGAAGGCCUUCGGGUUGUAAAGCACUUUCAGCGGGGAGGAAGGCGUUAAGGUUAAUAACCUUGUCGAUUGACGUUACCCGCAGAAGAAGCACCGGCUAACUCCGUGCCAGCAGCCGCGGUAAUACGGAGGGUGCAAGCGUUAAUCGGAAUUACUGGGCGUAAAGCGCACGCAGGCGGUCUGUCAAGUCGGAUGUGAAAGCCCCGGGCUCAACCUGGGAACUGCAUUCGAAACAGGCAGGCUAGAGUCUGGUAGAGGGGGGUAGAAUUCCAGGUGUAGCGGUGAAAUGCGUAGAGAUCUGGAGGAAUACCGGUGGCGAAGGCGGCCCCCUGGACAAAGACUGACGCUCAGGUGCGAAAGCGUGGGGAGCAAACAGGAUUAGAUACCCUAGUAGGC
rnacentral:rRNA from 1 species